rnacentral:rRNA from 1 species
CGCCCGCCGCGCCCCGCGCCCGUCCCGCCGCCCCCGCCCGCCCUACGGGGCGCAGCAGGCGCGAAAACUUUACAAUGCGGGCAACCGUGAUAAGGAAACCCCGAGUGCCAGCACAGGCUGGCUGUCCGCCAGUGUAAACAACUGGUGAAGAAAGGGCCGGGCAAGACCGGUGCCAGCCGCCGCGGUAAUACCGGCGGCUCGAGUGGUGGCCGCUUUUACUGGGCUUAAAGGGUCCGUAGCUGGAUUCACAAGUCCCUUGA